rnacentral:tRNA from 1 species
AGCCUAUUAGCUCAACUGGUCGAGCACUGUGCCCGUGAAUGUUUAAUAGCACAGAUGAUGUAGGUUCAAAUCCUUACAUAGGCU